rnacentral:rRNA from 1 species
AUACGUAGGGGGCAAGCGUUAUCCGGAUUUACUGGGUGUAAAGGGAGCGUAGACGGCAAAGCAAGUCUGAAGUGAAAGCCCCGGGCUCAACCCGGGAAUUGCUUUGGAAACUGUUUAGCUAGAGUGCAGGAGAGGUAAGCGGAAUUCCUAGUGUAGCGGUGAAAUGCGUAGAUAUUAGGAGGAACACCGGCGGCGAAGGCGGCUUACUGGACUGUAACUGACGUGGAGGCUCGAAAGCGUGGGGAGCAAACAGGAUUAGAUACCCUGGUAGUCCACGCCGUAAACGAUGAUUACUAGGUGUUGGUUGUCAUAGACAAUCGGUGCCGCAGCAAACGCAAUAAGUAAUCCACCUGGGGAGUACGUUCGCAAGAAUGAAACUCAAAUGAAUUGGCGGGG